rnacentral:tRNA from 1 species
AGUCUUAUAUUCAAUAAUGAUUUUAAAUUGCAAAUUUAAAGGGAAAGAGUUACUUUUAAGGCUU